GUAGAAGGCUGGCUUUGUGUUUUACGACAGAAUUCAAAGCAACGCUACUGUGCACGCGCGGCCUGCGUUCAAAGCUUAAACCCUAACCGGGAAAGCUCUUACCUUGAUACUUGGUGCCUCACCGGUAACGAUUUUUAUCGGUGAAAACGAUGAAGGUGGUGGCGCUCGUAAGCGGCGGCAAGGACAGCUGUUAUGCCAUGAUGAAAUGCAUCCAAUACGGCCACCAGAUUGUUGCAUUGGCAAAUCUGAUGCCUGCUGAUGACUCGGUGGAUGAGUUAGAUAGCUACAUGUAUCAAACUGUUGGGCACCAAAUAAUUGUCAGCUAUGCAGAAUGCAUGGGGGUGCCAUUGUUCAGAAGGAGAAUACAAGGAUCCACAAGGCAUCAAAAGCUUAACUACAUGACAACUCCAGGUGAUGAAGUGGAAGAUAUGUUUAUUUUGUUAAAUGAAGUUAAAAGACAGAUACCCUCUAUUACAGCAGUAUCUUCUGGUGCUAUUGCAUCUGACUAUCAAAGGUUACGAGUUGAGAGUGUUUGUUCAAGGUUAGGGCUUGUUUCUCUAGCAUAUUUAUGGAAACAAGAUCAGUCAGUGCUGCUUGAAGAGAUGAUAAAAAAUGGGAUUGUGGCUAUCACUGUAAAGGUUGCGGCCAUGGGAUUGGACCCAGCAAAGCACUUAGGCAAAGAAAUAACCUUCUUGAAAUCCCAUCUGCACAAGUUGAAAGAGUUGUAUGGGAUUAAUGUAUGUGGUGAAGGAGGGGAAUAUGAAACUUUGACACUUGACUGCCCACUCUUUGUUAAUCGUGCUCGAUGAGUUUAAAAUUGUACUGCACUCUUCAGAUUCUAUUGCUCCAGUUGGGGUCAUUCAUCCUUUAGCAUUUCAUUUAGAAAAUAAGGAAAAGGCUGCUUUAUCUAGUGAUAAUGACAAAACCAAUGAUUUAGUCCAUGAAAAAGUGGGUUCUGUGAUUGAAGUGGAAGGAGAUUGCUCAAAAGGAAGUGAGACUACUUCUCAGUCGGCUACUGAAGUCACUGAUUUAGUUGAAGUUAAACAUGAAAGACUUCACAUCUCAAGAACAAAGAAGGAUAAUACAUUUUCUAUUUCAUGCUGGUUGCAAGAAUCAUGCCGGUUGCAAGAAUCAUGCCAAACUUUCACAGCUUUGCACGAAGAUCUAGCGAUUGUUCUAAAGCACAUUGAAUCACAGCUUACAAGGUGUGGCUUUGGUUGGGAGCAUGUACUGUAUAUUCAUCUCUACAUUGCUGAUAUGAAUGAGUUUGCUUCAGCAAAUGAGAUGUAUGUUAGGUUCAUUACACAGGAUAAAUGCCCUUUUGGUGUUCCAUCCCGUAGUACAAUAGAACUGCCUUUGUUGCAAGUGGGUUUGGGAAGGGCAUACAUUGAAGUUCUGGUGGCAAAUAACCAAAGCAAAAAUGUCUUGCAUGUACAGAGUAUUUCCUCAUGGGCUCCUAGUUGCAUUGGACCAUAUAGCCAGGCAACUUUGCAUAAGGAGAUGCUUCACAUGGCUGGGCAAUUGGGGCUUGAUCCUCCCACAAUGACCAUAUGCAGUGGAGGCCCUGCUGCUGAGCUGGAACAAGCACUAGAAAACAGUGAAGCAGUGGCAAAAUGCUUCAACUGUUCAAUAUGUACCUCUGCUAUUCUCUUUACCGUUUACUGUUCAAAACACAUUCCUUUGUCCGAGAGACUUAAGAUUCAGGACAAGCAGGACUCUUUUAUUAAACAUAUGAGAAUGCUUGAACUAGAUAAAGCAAGCCCAUGUGAAGUUCUUGAUCCCAUAUCUCUAUAUGUCCUUGUGCCUGAUCUACCGAAAAGAGCAUUCAUUGAAGUAAAGCCUCUUCUUUUUGUCUCAAAGAAUGCAGACAUGGCGAAUGUAACUGCUCAUAACCUGUCUUCUACAAUGCUGCCUAACUGUUGGGGUUUUCAGAAGGCGCAUUGGCAUGAUUCUUGCAUUCAGAAAUGUGUUAUUAAUGGGAAGAUAUGUGCAGUUCUUUUGUCUAUUACAAAUGAUAUUAUUGCAAAAAUCUGUUCAGAGUCUCUUGGUACCAAUGAGGAUCACGAAAAUUCUAUCAUGAAGGGGCAUAUGGAAAGAGUUUCAAGAUUUUGCAUUUAUCUUCUUGAUGAAGUGGUUAUGGAGAAUGGUUUUUCGUGGGAAGAUACAAUGACAUUGAGAGUCUACUUCCCGAGCCUUGACAUGACCAUGGAGACAUUGUCACUCAUGUUCACUAGUGCUUUCAAAGAACUUUCUGAAAUGGGCAGGAGGGUUCAAAUUGGAUCAGAACCCAUGUUCAAUAUUGUUCCAGUCUUAGGUGCUGGCAGGUCUGCAUCAAUGGAUGAUGUAAUUACCUGUGAAUUAUUGGCUCAGAAAUCCUGAAUAUUGUUGUUUCAUGAAUCUUUUAUAAAUCUCAUUUAUUUUUUUGCCCCAUCAGAAAUUCAUGAAGUUAAACGUAAUGCAUGCAUAUAACUGUUUGGAAAGGUAAAAUAAUCCGACAAAUAUGUUGUGUUGCCGACUUCUCCUGAUUUAUUGCUCUCCAACGAAACUUCACAGAAUUUUUCACUAUGAUCAUUUUGCUAUUUUUAUUUAUUUGCUUAUUUUCCUUAUCAAUACCAUGUCAUUGAGUCGAUGUAAAUGUUAACUCAUAAAGAGAGAAAAAAAUUGUUUUUCAAGCUUAUUUUUAUUCAAUAGACUUGCAGCCUUUAUAGGCUUACAUCAAAACAGAAAUAUUGAAAACUGAGGCUAAAAAUAAGGAAACGUGACCAUGUUCUGCAGAACAUUAGCCACUUA
rnacentral:misc_RNA from 1 species